rnacentral:rRNA from 1 species
UACAGAGGUCUCAAGCGUUGUUCGGAUUCAUUGGGCGUAAAGGGCUCGUAGGCGGUUUGUCACGUCGGGAGUGAAACUCCGGGGCUUAACCCCGAGCCUGCUUCCGAUACGGGCAGGACUAGAGGUAUGCAGGGGAGAACGGAAUUCCUGGUGUAGCGGUGAAAUGCGCAGAUAUCAGGAGGAACACCGGUGGCGAAGGCGGUUCUCUGGGCAUUACCUGACGCUGAGGAGCGAAAGUGUGGGGAGCGAACAGG